UACGUAGGUGGCAAGCGUUAUCCGGAAUUAUUGGGCGUAAAGAGCGCGCAGGUGGUUGAUUAAGUCUGAUGUGAAAGCCCACGGCUUAACCGUGGAGGGUCAUUGGAAACUGGUCAACUUGAGUGCAGAAGAGGGAAGUGGAAUUCCAUGUGUAGCGGUGAAAUGCGUAGAGAUAUGGAGGAACACCAGUGGCGAAGGCGGCUUCCUGGUCUGUAACUGACAAUGAGGCGCGAAAGAGUGGGGAGCAAACAGG
rnacentral:rRNA from 1 species